UGGGGAAUAUUGCACAAUGGGCGCAAGCCUGAUGCAGCCAUGCCGCGUGUAUGAAGAAGGCCUUCGGGUUGUAAAGUACUUUCAGCGAGGAGGAAGGCGUUGUGGUUAAUAACCGCAACGAUUGACGUUACUCGCAGAAGAAGCACCGGCUAACUCCGUGCCAACAGCCGCGGUAAUACGGAGGGUGCAAGCGUUAAUCGGAAUUACUGGGCGUAAAGCGCACGCAGGCGGUCUGUCAAGUCGGAUGUGAAAUCCCCGGGCUCAACCUGGGAACUGCAUCCGAAACUGGCAGGCUAGAGUCUUGUAGAGGGGGGUAGAAUUCCAGGUGUAGCGGUGAAAUGCGUAGAGAUCUGGAGGAAUACCGGUGGCGAAGGCGGCCCCCUGGACAAAGACUGACGCUCAGGUGCGAAAGCGUGGGGAGCAAACA
rnacentral:rRNA from 1 species